rnacentral:rRNA from 1 species
GACGAACGCUGGCGGCGUGCUUAACACAUGCAAGUCGAACGGAAAGCCCUGUUCUUCCUUGUGUUGGACGUGUACUCGAGUGGCUAACGGUUGAGUAACACCUCAGUGAUCUUCCCCCAACUUGUGCAUAUGCCUGGUAAUCUGCUUCUAAUUCCCGAUCGGACUGCCGCGUGUUUUCUUUGGUGGAAAACGCUUUUCUAGUGGUUGGGGAUGGGCUCGCGGCCUAUCAGCUUGUUGGUGGGGUAAUGGCCUACCAAGGCGGCGACGGGUAGCCGUCCUGAGAGGGAGGACGGCCACAUUGGGACUGAGAGACGGCCCAGAAUCCUACGGGAGGCAGCAGUGGGGAAGAGUGGACAAUGGGGGGAAGCCUGAAGCAGCGAAGCAGCGUGGGGGAUGACGGGCUUCGGGUUGUAAACUCCUUUCGGCCGCGAGGAAGCCGCCUGGUUGGAAGGGUGGUGACGGUAGUGGUAGAAGAAGCACCGGCUAACUACGUG